GUCCCAACUCCGCCACCACCGGAGCUCCCUCCCUUGUGCUGCCUUAUGCUUAUGGGGGUGUCCAUGAAGACUCCUUUUAUCAGGAAGUCUUUAAAAGAAGGGGAAAUGUCCCUUUUGUUGAGGACUCAGGCGGGAAGAGGAGUGAAAGCAAUGGCUGAAUUCCCUCCCAUUUCAAAACUCCUUCCAACCUUCCAACCUCCAGAUCUUUCCAGCAUUCUCUCUCCCACACAUUUGGACCUAAGCUUAAAAAUAUGACCUGGGUAAUGAGGAGGUGAGUUAACUAGUUUGUAUCCAAGAGCCUUUCCAACCCAAACAUUCCAGGGUGUUAGGAUGCCAUUCAUUCCUCCACCUGACACACAUACAGACACACACACACACACAGAAAUCCACACGCUCUGCCUGAGUCUCCAGUUCCACCCCAUAGAGAAGCACACAAAGAAAUGAGAAUAGGUCUCCUCAGCCCUGCUAACUCACAGGAAAUACAGAUGGCUAAAAAGAAGCACUGUUAUUUAGCAUCCAUGCUCAGAAAGAAGGAAAUCUAGCAGAAACCAGAGCUGGUAUCCAAGAAUGCAAAAACAUUUUUGGGGGGAUGCUUCAUGCCACAAUGCCCCAAGUUGGAAAAAAAUGUGCCAUUUCAUAUGUUUAUAACAACAUCUGAUUUAAUAUUAUACAGUUUUGCUUAGUCACAAACCAGAACAAAUACUGUCAGAUUUAUUACAUCCUUCUAUUCUGAGACUUAAGUAAUCAUAGUUAGCAAUGGAGCCAUUCCCAAUCUUUACCUUGCCUUUCU
rnacentral:lncRNA from 10 species